AGCAUAUCAAUAAGCGGAGGAAAAGAAACCAACAGGGAUUGCCUUAGUAACGGCGAGUGAAGCGGCAACAGCUCAAAUUUGAAAUCUGGCCCCCUCGGGGUCCGAGUUGUAAUUUGUAGAGGAUGCUUCGGCGAGGGCUCCCGUCUAAGUUCCUUGGAACAGGACGUCGUAGAGGGUGAGAAUCCCGUAUGCGAUGGGUUGCCCGAGCCAUGUGAAGCUCCUUCGACGAGUCGAGUUGUUUGGGAAUGCAGCUCUAAAUGGGAGGUAAAUUUCUUCUAAAGCUAAAUACCGGCCAGAGACCGAUAGCGCACAAGUAGAGUGAUCGAAAGAUGAAAAGCACUUUGGAAAGAGAGUUAAAAAGUACGUGAAAUUGUUGAAAGGGAAGCGCUUGCAGCCAGACUCGUCCGCAGUUGCUCAGCCGGUCUCCUGACCGGUGUACUCUUCUGCGGCCGGGCCAGCAUCAGUUCGGGCGGUCGGAUAAAGGUCCCGGGAAUGUAGCUCCUCUCGGGGAGUGUUAUAGCCCGGGGCGGAAUGCGGCCAGCCCGGACUGAGGAUCUCGCUUCGGCUAGGAUGCUGGCGUAAUGGCUGUAAGCGGCCCGUCUUGAAACACGGACCAAGGAGUCUAACAUCUACGCGAGUGUUUGGGUGUCAAACCCAAGCGCGUAAUUAAAGUGAACGGAGGUGGGAACCCCUCGCGGGGUGCACCAUCGACCGAUCCUGAUGUCUUCGGAUGGAUUUGAGUAAGAGCGUAGCUGUUGGGACCCGAAAGAUGGUGAACUAUGCCUGAAUAGGGUGAAGCCAGAGGAAACUCUGGUGGAGGCUCGCAGCGGUUCUGACGUGCAAAUCGAUCGUCAAAUUUGGGUAUAGGGGCGAAAGACUAAUCGAACCAUC
rnacentral:rRNA from 1 species